rnacentral:rRNA from 1 species
GACGAACGCUGGCGGCGUGCUUAACACAUGCAAGUCGAACGGAAAGGCCCUGCUUUUGUGGGGUGCUCGAGUGGCGAACGGGUGAGUAACACGUGAGUAACCUGCCCUUGACUUUGGGAUAACUUCAGGAAACUGGGGCUAAUACCGGAUAGGAGCUCCUGCUGCAUGGUGGGGGUUGGAAAGUUUCGGCGGUUGGGGAUGGACUCGCGGCUUAUCAGCUUGUUGGUGGGGUAGUGGCUUACCAAGGCUUUGACGGGUAGCCGGCCUGAGAGGGUGACCGGCCACAGUGGGACUGAGAUACGGCCCAGACUCCUACUGGAGGCAGCAGUGGGGAAUAUUGCACAAUGGGCGGAAGCCUGAUGCAGCGACGCCGCGUGCUGGAUGACGGCCUUCGGGGUGUAAACCGCUUUCGCCUGUGACGAAGCGUGAGUGACGGUAAUGGGUAAAGAAGCACCGGCUAACUACGUG